rnacentral:rRNA from 1 species
UUAUAAUCAUUUAAAAUUAAGUAAUAAAGAAUUUUCCGAAACUUAAAGAAUUUGGCGGUGCUUUAAUCUCAUCAGAGGAACCUGUUUAUUAAACGAUACUACACGACUAUUUUACCUUAACAAAAGUUUGUAUAUCGUCGUAUUAAUUAUAUUGAAUAAUAAUAAUUAAAAGAAUUCUAUUCUCCACAUCAGAUCAAGGUUCAACUAAUGUUAAGGGUUGAAUGGGUUACAAUACAUAUAAAGUACAACGGAACUUAAAAUGGAAAGUUAAAUUAAGGUGGAUUUGAAAGUAUAAAAAGUUUAAUAAAACUAAUUUGAAUUAGUAAUAAAGCAUGC